rnacentral:rRNA from 1 species
UACGUAGGGGGCGAGCGUUGUCCGGAAUCAUUGGGCGUAAAGAGCGUGUAGGCGGCUUGGCAAGUCUGACGUGAAAGCCCGCGGCUCAACCGCGGAUUGUCGUUGGAAACUGCCUCGCUAGAGUCCGGAAGAGGAGAGCGGAAUUCCUGGUGUAGCGGUGGAAUGCGCAGAUAUCAGGAAGAACACCCGUGGCGAAGGCGGCUCUCUGGGACGGUACUGACGCUGGGACGCGAAAGCGUGGGGAGCGAACAGG